GCGUUCGUGGUGUAACAGUUAGCACACUCGACGCGUAUUCCAGAAGUCCAGGUUCGAGUCCUUGCAAGGGCA
rnacentral:tRNA from 1 species